CAAGACCCUGUCUUCAAAGUAAAGCUUCCAGUAGUGCAGCAGAGAGGAGAGGGAGGGAGGGAAGGAGGGAAGGAGGAGGAAAAGGGUUCGGGAAACAGAAGGUGUUUGCUUGGGUGUGGUGGUUCAUGCCCUCCAUUCUCUAACCCUAACAGGAGUUUCAGUAGGGGAAUUGCCGAGAGCUGGAGGCCAGACUGGGUUAGACUGAGAACAAGCAUCUCAAACAGGUCCUCGAAGGAAGGAUGACAUGCAGAGCACUUUCUUGAGGAUGCUGGAUUUUCAGAGAGCCCACGCUUCUGAGAUGAAAGAAGGCAGCUUUGUUAUCAUCAAUAUGAAAGGACAAGUUUGGUAUCUAAUACUGCUGGGUUGUAGCUUACAUUGAGUGUGCAUCACAAAUGAAUGGUUUAAAAAUCAUCGUGACUCAG
rnacentral:lncRNA from 1 species